UACGAAGGGGGCUAGCGUUGCUCGGAAUCACUGGGCGUAAAGCGCACGUAGGCGGAUUCUUAAGUCAGGGGUGAAAUCCUGGAGCUCAACUCCAGAACUGCCUUUGAUACUGAGGAUCUUGAGUUCGGGAGAGGUGAGUGGAACUGCGAGUGUAGAGGUGAAAUUCGUAGAUAUUCGCAAGAACACCAGUGGCGAAGGCGGCUCACUGGCCCGAUACUGACGCUGAGGCACGAAAGCGUGGGGAGCAAACAGG
rnacentral:rRNA from 1 species